rnacentral:rRNA from 1 species
UACGUAGGGUGCAAGCGUUGUCCGGAAUUAUUGGGCGUAAAGAGCUCGUAGGCGGCUAGUCGCGUCGGCUGUGAAAACCUGGGGCUCAACCCCGGGCCUGCAGCCGAUACGGGCUAGCUAGAAUUCGGUAGGGGAGACUGGAAUUCCUGGUGUAGCGGCGAAAUGCGCAGAUAUCAGGUGGAACACCGGUGGCGAAGGCGGGUCUCUGGGCCGACAUUGACGCUGAGGAGCGAAAGCGUGGGGAGCGAACAGG